rnacentral:rRNA from 1 species
GAGUGAUCAUAGUAACUUUUCGAAUCGCAUGACUUUACAGUCGGCGAUGGUUCAUUCAAAUUUCUGCCCUAUCAAGUUUCGAUGGUAGGAUAGAGGCCUACCAUGCUUUUUACGGGUAACGGCGAAUUAGGGUUCGAUUCCGGAGAGGGAGCCUGAGAAACGGCUACCACAUCUAAGGAAGGCAGCAGGCGCGCAAAUUACCCAAUCCUGAUUCAGGGAGGUAGUGACAAUAAAUAACAAUCCAGGACUUCGGUCUUGGAAUUGGAAUGAGAACAAUUUAAAUCUCUUAUCGAGGAACAAUUGGAGGGCAAGUCUGGUGCCAGCAGCCGCGGUAAUUCCAGCUCCAAUAGCGUAUAUUAAAGUUGUUGCAGUUAAAUAGCUCGUAGUUGAAUCUUGGGGCUGGUUUGGCGGUC